rnacentral:lncRNA from 1 species
GGGGGACCCGGUGUGCGCGCAGGAAUCGGGAAUUUUCCAUGAUUGGGGUGGAUGGAAAAGCAGCCAACUGCUACAUGCUGCCUGAUGGCUCCAGGGUUGGCCCACCAUCACUUCUGCCACCAUUGUUGCCACACACACUGCCCAGGAGCCCACCUGCCCUGCCUACUGGUGGCACCCGAGCAAGCCGGAGGCCCAAGGACUGGCCUAUCUGGACUCACCACCAUUAGCACCUGCAUAUGCCACCCAGGGGCCUGCAAAUCAGCACACCUGGCUCCCCAUUGCCACCACAGCUGUGGGGGCUGCAUCCUGCAGAGCCACAGGGCAGAGCCCCGCCUUGAGCCAAUGUGGCCUGGAUACGAGACACAGGGUUGAAGGAGAUUAUUUUGGAGCUUUAAGAUUUAAUGACUGCCCUGCUGGGUUUCAAACUUGCAUGGGGCCUGUAGCCCCUUUGGUUUGGCCAGUUUGCCCUUUUGGAUUGGUAGUAUUUAGUCAAUGUUUGUACCCCCACUGUAUCUUGGAAGUAACUAAUUUGUUUUUGAUUUUACAGGCUCAUAGGCAGAAGGGACUGGCCUUGUCUCAGAUGAGACUUUGGACUGUGGACUUUUGAGUUAAUGCCAAAAUGAGUUAAGACGUGAGGGACUGUUGAGAAGGGAUGAUUGUAUUUUGCAAUGUGAGAAGGAUAUGAGAUUUGGGAGAGGCUGGGGCAGAAUGGAAUGGUUUGGAUUUGUGUCCCCAGCCACAUCUCAUGUUAAGUUGUAAUUGCCAGUGUUGGAGGAGGGGUCCGGACAGAGGUGACUGGAUCAAGGGGGCGGAUUUCCCCCUUGCUGUUCUCAUGAUAGUGACUGAGUUCUCACAAGAUCUGGUUGUUUAAAAGUGUGUGGCACCUCCCACUUCACCCUCUUCCUCCGGCUCCAGCCGCAAAGGAUGUGCCGGCUUCCCCUUCACCUUCCACCGUGAUGGAAGGUCUCCCGAGGCCUAGCCAGCCGUGCUUCCUGGACAGCCUGUGGGAACGUGAGCCGAUUAAGCUUCUUUAUAAAUUACCCAGUCUCAGGCAGUUCUUUAUGGCAAUGUGAGAACAGACUAAAACACAAACCAACAUUAUCGGUGUAUCUACAGGAAAAUGUCUUUCCCUACAAAAGCCAAUCCAUAAAAUUAGAAGAAAUGACUGUUACACCAGAUGCGCAGAUAUCAACACAAGGACACAAGAAACACAAACACACAAAGGAAACGUGACGCCUCCAAAGGAACACAAUAUUUCUCCAGGAACAGAUCUUAAAAGAAAUGAUGAAAUGCUCAAAAAAAUUCAAAAUAAGUUUAAAAACUCAGUGAGAUACAAGACAGCAAAGAUAAACAAUACAGAGAAAUCAGGGGCCGGGGGAGUGGCUCAAGCCUGUAAUCCCAGUACUUUGGGAGGCCGAGGCGGGUGGAUCACUGGAGGUCAGGAGUUCGAGACCAGCCUGGCGAACGUGGCGAAACCUCAUCUCUACUAAAAACACAAAAAUUAGCUGGGUGUGGUGGCGCAUGCCUGUGAUCCCAGCUACUAGGGAGGCUGAGGCAGGAGAAUCACUUGAACCGGGGAGGCAGAGGUUGCAGUGAACCAAGAUCAUGC